AACACCUGGAAACAGAUGCUAAUACCGGAUAACAACAGAUGAUGCCUAUCAACUGUUUAAAAGAUGGUUCUGCUAUCACUCUUGGAUGGACCUGCGGUGCAUUAGCUAGUUGGUAGGGUAACGGCCUACCAAGGCGAUGAUGCAUAGCCGAGUUGAGAGACUGAUCGGCCACAUUGGACUGAGACACGGCCCAAACUCCUACGGGAGGCAGCAGC
rnacentral:rRNA from 1 species